CCAACAGGGAUUGCUCUAGUAACGGCGAGUGAAGCAGCAAUAGCUCAAAUUUGAAAUCUGGCGUCUUCGACGUCCGAGUUGUAAUUUGUAGAGGAUGCUUCUGAGUGGCCACCGACCUAAGUUCCUUGGAACAGGACGUCAUAGAGGGUGAGAAUCCCGUAUGCGGUCGGAAAGGCGCUCUAUACGUAGCUCCUUCGACGAGUCGAGUUGUUUGGGAAUGCAGCUCUAAAUGGGAGGUAAAUUUCUUCUAAAGCUAAAUAUUGGCCAGAGACCGAUAGCGCACAAGUAGAGUGAUCGAAAGAUGAAAAGCACUUUGGAAAGAGAGUUAAAAAGCACGUGAAAUUGUUAAAAGGGAAGGGAUUGCAACCAGACUUGCUCGCGGUGUUCCGCCGGUCUUCUGACCGGUCUACUCGCCGCGUUGCAGGCCAGCAUCGUCUGGUGCCGCUGGAUAAGACUUGAGGAAUGUAGCUCCUUCGGGAGUGUUAUAGCCUCUUGUGAUGCAGCGAGCGCCGGGCGAGGUCCGCGCUCCGGCUAGGAUGCUGGCGUAAUGGUCGUAAUCCGCCC
rnacentral:rRNA from 1 species